GCAAUAGGGUGAUGUCCUCAGUCCUUGACUGAGAGUGGAGAAGCUUGAAUUCUUGUCACAGCUGCCUUCCUGUGACCUUGGGCAAGACUCUGUGACCUUGGGCAAGUCACACAAACUUUCUGGACUUGGUUUUCUUGUUUGAAAAUAAAAGAAUUCAGACUGUCAUCCCUGAAAGUCUCUUUUAGUUAUAAACAGUUCCACGAUUCUGAACUAUACCAGCAAUAAGAUAAUCCAAGAAAGACAACCAUUCACCAACCCCUGUCACCAAGGUCCUACGAGGAGACAGGCUCACGAGAAAAAGUGCCACUCUAGUCACCAAGGAAACACUCAACUUUUAACAGUGAAAGACACCCUUUAGAGCAGGAUAAGACAUAUUCUACAAAGCACCCCAGGAAAAUGGAAUUGUGGAUUAUGGAAUAUGAGGGAGUUUUAAAAAACAGCAAUUCACUUCUACUUCCCAAUUUCCCCUCAAAAAGCUGACUGGAGGUUUACCCACAGACCACUGGAUAAAUGCCUGAGAGUUCUUUCAGGGGCGUUAAAUCCUUCUAUCUAAUCUAAGAUUCAAGCAAUGUUGCUAAUUUUUGCUUUAAAAUACCUUAGCCAAGGUUUCUUUCGGUGUUAGAAAAAUGCUAAAACUCCUUGCAUUUUGAUUAUAUGGAGCCUAGGUAAAUGGAGCCUUCUGUCCUCUGUCCUUUCAGUGUGUGCAGCUGAAUAAUCCUCUCAUAAAAACAAUUAAUACUGGAAUAAAUAAAGACCCCAAGGUCUCAGGUGGCUGGGUCCACUCAAUUUCUGCUUUCUCUUUCAUAUAUUUACAUAUUAAUAUUAAGCCACAGGUGAAAACUAAGGCCUACUCUCUCCCCGUCUCUGUGAUGUGGCAAAGAUCAAACUUCCUAAGUGAAGGUUUCUUGCAGGAAUAUCGACUCCAAGUAGGGUUAGUCCCCAGUCUGACGGCUAAGACUGCGUGAGGAAGACUGGAAUGCUCUGCCGGCCUCAGGAAGCGGCCACGCUCUCCGGCACUCUCCACCAAGGAUGGGGCUGGGGCUGUGGCUUCCUCCUGGCAGCCGGGGCGCCAACAGCUGAAAUUGGAACACGCCUCAUAGUCACGUCCUGUUUCAGUGAGAGACAAGUUCUGCUUCCAGGAAAUGCUCCUUGUCUGGGGAGAGGGAGAACGGAGGGCGCUCAGAUACCCAAUAGCUACGACAUACACACUUUGGGGAAAACUCACAGCGCACGAAGAGCCGACUUUUAUGGAAUGAAACUGGAUAAUGCAUAUUCAUCAAUAUAUCGGUGA
rnacentral:lncRNA from 1 species